UACGUAGGUGGCGAGCGUUGUCCGGAUUUAUUGGGUUUAAAGGGUGCGUAGGCGGUCCUAUAAGUCAGUGGUGAAAUAUCGCAGCUCAACUGUUAGGGUGCCAUUGAUACUGUAGGACUUGAGUGAAUUUGAGGUAGGCGGAAUUGACGGUGUAGCGGUGAAAUGCUUAGAUAUCGUCAAGAACACCGAUAGUGAAGACAGCUUACCAAGCUUCAACUGACGCUGAGGCACGAAAGUGUGGGGAUCAAACAGG
rnacentral:rRNA from 1 species